rnacentral:tRNA from 1 species
GCCCGUGUCGCCAAUGGACAGGCAACCGGACUACGAAUCCGGCGGUGCAGGUUCGAGUCCUGCCACGGGUA